AUGAGUACUCAUUUAAAAUUUUUCUAUCUUGCAGGAGUGAUUGAAGAGAUCACAGAUGGUAGGAGGAGCAGUUGUGUGCUGCUAACCAUAGAGGUCUCCCCUGUCUACAGAAACCUAAUUGAACAGGACGUGCAAGUAGGAAAUGUUCAGCAUGUUAUUUGCAUCACCUCAUGGAGUUCCUGUUCAUGGUGCAGACUUUGUGAACAAAUCCCACAGGACCCUCAAUCUGUCCAGCUCUUGGGGAGAAUACCCUUCCUCGGGGAAAAGAAGGCUUUUGAGGAACAACACAGAAGAGUGAUGAAGUGUCAUCAAGGCUGGCUUCGUCGGUUGGGAUCGGAGUCAGAAAGGAAAGGCAAGUGGGUAUGUACGAGGGACCCCUGGGAGAGGAGGCUCACUUGUCACGCACACAGUGACACUAACUAAACAUUCCAAGGAGGAAACACGGACAAUUGUGUCUUGUUCUGCUACGAAAUUGCAUUUCCCUGUCAAGAAUAUUAGAUCUCCUGCAAGUUAAUAAAAAUCACAAUAUCAUUAAUUUUAGAGCUGCA
rnacentral:lncRNA from 1 species